ACAUGAGAUGCUCUCUUCAGUCCGGGGCUUGGUUGAACGGACUCACCAGGAAACGUGACUUUCGUGUCCGACCUCUGCUGUAUCAGGAUUCGAUUCUUGGUGUUAAACAAGACAACGCUGAAGGCUCGGUGCAGCAGCCCUGCAAAGCUUUGUGUCUUAGGUUUCAGCGUGCUGACGUUCUCUGGGCCCUGAAGUCACUGCUGCUGGCUGGUGUGCUGGCCACUUGGUCGUGCUGGCCUGUCUCCCACCGGGUGGAUGCCCAGCGAGCUCUGGAUGCUGUGUAUGACAAAGACAUGGGGGUUGUUUGGAGUCUGUGAUGUGCUAUUGUCCUCCACAUAAUGGUUUUCUGCAAGAAACUAGAGAAGUUUUUCCAGCGCUCUUGGGAGGUGGGCUGUGCCACUGCCUGGCCCACCUGGCCCACCUGGCCCACCAUUACCUGAAGGGAAGCAUGAACAGCCUUUGACGUGGGAGUGGCGACUGCUGAGAGGGAACUGUCUGUACACAAGCAAUGUAGCCUUAUGGGACCUGAGUGGAGCCCCAACCCACGCAGGGCGUGUCUUCAUGGCUUUUCCUGGCCAAUCUGAUACCAAGAUGCAGUGGCCAGAAGUACCUGCACUUCCACUCCUGUCAAGUCUCUGCAUGGCUAUGGUGAGGAAGAGCUCUGCACUGGGCAAGGAAGUUGGCCGUCGAGUGAAGGAAAUGGUGAUGCUGGUGGCCCCUUUCCGGCAGUCAAGUUCCCUAUCAAGGACAUUCAGUUCUCGGAAAGUGGUGAAGGCACAUGCUUCCCUGCAUGGUGCCCGCCUCUCUCCACUCUCUAGAAAUAUUAGAGGCUAGGCUGCUGCUGUAUGUCAGGGCUAGUCCCUCUUCUAUGAAUCCAGAAUAACUCUGAAGAAGCCGAGUAACAGGCAUGAAGUGAAGAGAAAUCGCUGUAACAGGAAGACAGCAAAGCAGAUGCUAAUGACCACACUAUUUAACGAACUGGAACCAACGAGAAAAUACGGUAUUACUGAAGACUGCACUUCCUUGAACAGAGUGCUCUUCUCAGCAAAUCGGAAAUGCCUACACAAAUCGCUUUACAAGAAAGACUGUUUCAAAGCAGCACCUUUCUCAAUGUUCUCGUUCAGGUGACAAUUCUUCUUGGUCUCAGCUCCAAUUUUAUUGUCAUUUUCAUCAAUAAGGAUACACAUCUCUGCCAGGAGUUGAACCUGUUGCUUGUCGAGGUGGUUAGUGUUUAUUUCAGGCAUCAUUACAAAAUGUCUGAUCUGUUCUAGAACACUAAUAUUAAAGGAAAAGAGAAAGAAAGGCAAAAAAAAAAAAAAAAAAA
rnacentral:lncRNA from 1 species